GACGAACGCUGGCGGCAUGCCUAAUACAUGCAAGUCGAGCGAACAGAUGAAGUGCUUGCACUUCUGACGUUAGCGGCGAACGGGUGAGUAACACGUAAGGAAUCUACCUAUAAGCGGGGGAUAACAUUCGGAAACGGGUGCUAAUACCGCAUAAUAUCUUCUUCCGCAUGGAAGAAGAUUGAAAGACGGCUCUGCUGCCACUUAUAGAUGACCUUGCGGUGCAUUAGUUAGUUGGUGGGGUAAUGGCCUACCAAGACGAUGAUGCAUAGCCGACCUGAGAGGGUGGUCGGCCACAUUGGGACUGAGACACGGCCCAAACUCCUACGGGAGGCAGCAGUAGGGAAUCUUCCGCAAUGGGCGAAAGCCUGACGGAGCAAUGCCGCGUGAGUGAAGAAGGCCUUCGGGUCGUAAAACUCUGUUAUAAGAGAAGAACAAAUUGUAGAGUAACUGCUACAGUCUUGACGGUAUCUUAUCAGAAAGCCACGGCUAACUACGUGCCAGCAGCCGCCGUAA
rnacentral:rRNA from 1 species